UACGUAGGGUCCGAGCGUUGUCCGGAAUUAUUGGGCGUAAAGGGCUCGUAGGCGGUCUGUUGCGUCGGGAGUGAAAACUUACAGCUUAACUGUGAGCGUGCUUCCGAUACGGGCAGACUUGAGGUAUUCAGGGGAGAACGGAAUUCCUGGUGUAGCGGUGAAAUGCGCAGAUAUCAGGAGGAACUCCGGUGGCGAAGGCGAGGUGCUGGACCCCAUCUGACGCUGAGGCGCGAAAGCCAGGGGAGCGAACGGG
rnacentral:rRNA from 1 species